UACGAAGGGGGCUAGCGUUGUUCGGAAUUACUGGGCGUAAAGCGCGUGUAGGCGGCAGCGCAAGUCGGGCGUGAAAUCCCACGGCUCAACCGUGGAAGUGCACUCGAAACUGCGCAGCUAGAGUCCUGGAGAGGAAGGUGGAAUGCUUGGUGUAGAGGUGAAAUUCGUAGAUAUCAAGCGGAACACCGGUGGCGAAGGCGGCCUUCUGGACAGUGACUGACGCUGAGACGCGAAAGCGUGGGGAGCAAACAGG
rnacentral:rRNA from 1 species